AGUGAACGCUGGCGGUAGGCCUAACACAUGCAAGUCGAACGGCAGCACCGUAAGAGCUUGCUCUUACGGGUGGCGAGUGGCGGACGGGUGAGGAAUACAUCGGAAUCUACUUUUUCGUGGGGGAUAACGUCGGGAAACUUACGCUAAUACCGCAUACGACCUACGGGUGACAGCAGGGGAUCUUCGGACCUUGCGCGAUUGAAUGCGCCGAUGUCGGAUUAGCUAGUUGGCGGGGUAAAUGCCCACCAAGGCGACGAUCCGUAUCUGGUCUGAGAGGAUGAUAAGCCACACUGGAACUGAGACACGGUCCAGACUCCUACGGGAGGCAGCAGUGGGGAAUAUUGGACAAUGGGGGCAAGCCUUAUCCAGCCAGACCGCGUGGGUGAAGAAGGCCUUCGGGGUGUAAAGCCCUUUUGUUGGGAAAGAAAAGCAGCAGGUUAAUACCCCGCUGUUCUGACGGUACCCAAAGAAUAAGCACCGGCUAACUUCGUG
rnacentral:rRNA from 1 species